CAUUCUCUCUUCUCCGAUCUCUCUCUCCUAUCUCUAAUGGCGAUUUCGUUUUCAUCACCGGCGAUCUCGUCUUCAAUGCCGUGUUCUCGUCUCUCAUCGCCGUGUUAAAUCGUCGAUCAGCCGUCGUCGAUCUCGUUGUCUUCGGUUCUUCAGUAACAUCCCGUUCGUAUUUCACCAUUGAUGCGAUCUCGUUGUUCGUCGCUGCUCAACGCCCUCUCCAUAAAUGUAUGUACCUUGUGAACUGAGAUGAGAAAGUCCAUAAUAUGGGAUGCCAAGACUUUAGAGCAGAGGUUGUACACAACACCACCUCAUCAUACGGAAACUGAACAAGCAAAAACAAAGACCAUCGACCCCAGAACAACCAUGGAAAAAAAAAUCAGCCUUUCAUUUCACGGCAGAUCUUCCUUAGGAUGACACCAACAAGUCCAUGAGUACAAGCGAAGAAGACUCAAUGAGUACAAGCGGGAGUUGUGUCACUGGCCCAGAACCAUUCUACUACAUGAGAUUCAUGCCUGCGCCUAUCAACAAACCAAAAAUGGAAAAACAGGAAAGCCUUGCGGAGAAGAUGACCAAAUCUGAUCUCAUGGUCGAGGACAGUGGUGAGCUUUAAUUCGGAGAAGAUGUUGACUUUCUAGAAAAUAAUACAUGCUUAUGUAGUAAAUAUGUAUAUUAUAUUGUUCAUGUUGUAGAGAUCAACGAUACUACAUAGUUAUUUUUUGUAUAUUUUAGUUAUUUCUUGUAUAUUUUUAGCCAGUGAUGGAGUUGUCUUCUUUUGUUUUGUCAAACAAAGUCUUCUUUCAUAUGUAAUUUAAAUGGUUACAAAAUAGUUGUGCAUAAGAACCUUGCAUUA